AUACGGAGGGUGCAAGCGUUACUCGGAAUCACUGGGCGUAAAGCGCGCGCAGGCGGCUUGAUAAGUUGGAUGUGAAAGCCUACGGCUCAACCGUAGAACUGCAUCCAAAACUGUCAGGCUAGAGUGUGGGAGAGGAAGAUGGAAUUAGUUGUGUAGGGGUAAAAUCCGUAGAGAUAACUAGGAAUACCAAAAGCGAAGGCAAUCUUCUGGAACACUACUGACGCUGAGGCGCGAAGGCGUGGGGAGCAAACAGGAUUAGAUACCCUAGUAGUCC
rnacentral:rRNA from 1 species